AAGGACCAAGUUGCUUUUAGCAGGGACGUCUGCUGAAGUGGGAGCUUGUCAACCCUUCGGAAAACGCAGCUGCUGAAGAGGGCUUUAUAGUAUUUACAGUGGCUUUAGAUCCAGCUA